GCCCCGGUAACCCAACUGGCAGAGGUCAUCGGCUCAAACCCGAUGAGGUGUGGGUUCGAAUCCCACCCGGGGCA
rnacentral:tRNA from 1 species